rfam:Ovis aries breed Texel chromosome 2, whole genome shotgun sequence.
UCCCUGGUGGUCCAAUGGUUAAGACUCUGCCUUGCAAUGCAGGGGACUCAGGUUCGAUCCCUGGUUUGGGAA